UCAGCUCAGAAGACAACGAAAAAUCACAGGGAGCCAAAUAUGAGGAGUCAGGAGGGUAAGGCAUAAUGUAAAUUUGCCCAAGCGAAGGCAAAAUUUUAUCGCAUAACGUUGUUCAUUUUUAAACGUCGCGUCACACAUAGCAAAAACCUCGGAGGCGAAAUCCAAUACGAUUUCAAAAUACUCAUCCGCUAUAAACGAGUGUAGGGACAAUACUGGCAGUUGUUCUGAAAACAAAAUCGGUAAUCGAAUGUUUUUAUUUGAUCAUAAUAGAGCAUAAUAGCUGUCACAAGACAAGCAUCAAUUUUCAGGUUUCAAAUCUGCAGUGGAAUAUACGCCGAUAGACUUCCUCGUUUCAUCUGCUAGCUCAUACGAACUUGUUCCGAUCCUGGCUAAGACAGUGCACGGAAUAUAUAAGGCAUCGAGCUUUGCGUUGUAUCCUGCUACCGCUGAAGACUGUUUACGAUUACGUCGGUAAACACGUUGACCCACAUCGUAAGCCGGGGCAGCGUGAUUUGAUCGCAAGUGAUACGUUUUUAUAUUUUUAUUAUGAGCCUUUUGCAAAUUGUUAAACACUAUGGAAUCAAUUUGUUUAUCUAUAUUAUUUUUCCUGUCUAAUCUGUCUUCAUCCGUUAAUACCCUUUCGUCCCGAUCUAUCCGAUGUUCACCUGCUUUACCUAUAAUCUCGUGUCCGAAUAGAAUUCUAUAUGGCGAAAAUCCGGUGGAGGAAUGGGGAGUGUUAUUUAUACAAUAUUCAAUUUCAGAAACUCGUGUGUCCCAAAGCUUUUGGUUCUGCUUCGCAUAAGAACGGAUACAAGAAAUUAUUGUGCGGUUCAAUCUUUCAACAGGGUUCGAUUGAAUGUGAUACUUGGAAUUCGUCCAAUGCUGCCUUCCUUCUCAGUAGCGGAAUAUCUUUGCUGGAUUACUGUCAACUUCUGCGAGAAAUAUGCGACGGGUUUUUCGAUACCCUCCGGGGAUUGUGUCAGCACCCCAGCUAUAGCAGUGUCACUUGCAUCACAAUGAAUCGUAAACUAAAGCGGCUGUGUGGCAUAUAGAGUAAAAGUGUAAAUAGAACUUAAUUCAGAACUUGUCCCCCGUUGCUAUCGUGUGAGCAAACAGCGGCAGAACGCAAAGUACGUAGAAUAGAAGGUAGUCUCCUCCCUGCUUUGUUCAAGUAGUGGUAGGCAAAAAAAACAAGUAAAAAAUUGUAAUAAACCAUCGAUCGAAUCCAUAUAAAUUCGAACAUUUUUGAAUUGUAACAAAAGAACUGUCUCAAAAUAUGUCUCUAAAUGAUGAAAUAGCAGUUUACUUAAUCAUUUUCAAAAUUGAAAACAGUGAAAUUAUCGCACCUGUAUUAUAAAACCAACGCAAAAGUCGAUGAAGAAAUGUGUGGAGAGGUUAUAUUGAAGCAGAGUCGUUCCCGCAAAUUGCAUCCAUCAAGAAUCAUCGCUGCGCUUUCAUUGGUUUCGGUUUGGAGUGUUCGGCCGUAGUGAGGCAACUUAAGGGACCAAAUUGGCGUUUCUGCAAAACGAGAAAAAACAUUUCCUCCAUCCCGGGUCAUCUUCCGAAGUGAUUGCAAAAGAAGUGCAUUGCAGCAAGAAGUGAAUGUAGAUAGUGUUCUGUGGCAAAUGGUUCCAGCGCAUAAUAUCGAUUUGGAAAAGGCCAUGCCAAAGUGGUUGGAGGAAGUUUACAGUACAUUGCCGUACAAAUGCAAAAAAAAAACUGAAGACAUUCUACACUGUCCACCCGAUGUUUUGGACCGAAAUGACCUGGUGGUUCACGACAUUGGUGACAUCAGCCAUUAAGACGAAAAUUCACUCGCUACCGAGCGUUGAGCACCUGUAUUCAGCGAUUGCGAACGAUUAGUAGGAAAAAUUUGCAUGCAUCAUCGAAUACGAUAUGACGACGAACGGUAUUUACUUCUUCAAACCGACCACCAAUACGUCUUCGUCUGCGUCCUAAACUAGGGUUCCGCCCUCCUCAUUAUCUCGCAGAUGAAGCACUUCUCCUCUGGUGGUAUCACGAGAAACAAAAUGAAAAAUUUUCCACUUUUUUCCGCCGUUGAGUUAGUUAGAUACUAGUUAGAUAAAUCUUGCAGAAAACGAUGCGAUACAAGAAAUAGGGCACAUAAUAUAAAACAAGCUAACAGGACAAAAAUGAGACAAAAGAAAUAUUCUUAUCGUUUCAAUAACAAAAUUGUUAAAAAUUAUAUACACACAAUAAAAACAUUUUAGUUACUUGAAGGAAGAGAAUAAAAUUAGAUGCUGCAGAGAAAAUGAAAAUAUAAUAUUGUAAUUAAAGACGGUUGAUUAACCGCGAACUAUCGAAAUAUAGUAGCAUCUUCUCCCAGAGCUUAUUGGAUGGAUCCAAAACCUAGACAAAUCCGUACGUACUGAAUCUUGAGAGCAAGAGGCAAAAGCAACAGCGUAUAGAUCUCACAUUUCGGGCGGUUUGUUUGUAGGGCUCAAGUCACAGUCAUAAAUUUCAAAGUAAUUUAUUGAAAAGAAAUCAUUUAGGAAGUUUGUUCUAAAAGCUAAAUAGUUAAAGGUCAAGUUGGAUACUGAGUGCAAACUAACAAAAGUAAGUCGUUGAACUAAGUAGUGAGAGAGGAUGAAACAAAUCAAUGCUUAUUUAACAUAUUGCGGACCGCUUAUAUGUUCUCUCGAGUUUCGCGUUCCGUCUGUUAUGGAUGGAUCACGAAAUAACCCGUGUUUUCUACACUUGAAGGUUUUAUCCUUGGUUUACUAAGAAUCUAACAAUGCCUACCGGUGGCUCGCCUUCGUCUCAUCCACAUUGAAGCAAACGAUCUUAUUCGUGGAAUCCGAACAGCGAGAAAACUUUCUGAGAGCAUAAUAACCAUUUGAAAGGUUUGAGGUUUCUUCCCGACCAUUCUAACAUUUCAAAAUAGGAGUAAUCGAUGCAUUAAUACGUUUAAUUUUUUUCCCCAAAUUGCGACUAGCAUUUACAGGUUACGUUGAAAAGAAUUAUUUCAUGUUUAGGGGAUUGUGAGUUGAACAAAAUUUUGUAUUAUUAUUCAUCAAUAACAUAACUAUUAUUACAAACAUACUGAAAAAACAUAUAAAUUACACAUAUUUAAGAUUUUACAUGAAACCAACAGCAUGUCUCCAAUAGGCGUCUUCGUAAAAUUGUAACCGAAGAACUAGCAGGAAUCUGUAGAAUAUUAUUGAUGAAUUAUUUAAGCAGCCGAGUGUUUAGUUGUUGCAAAGCAGACUUUAAAACAAAUGAAAAGUUCUAACGAGUAUGGAGUACGUAUGAGCAAAUAUUAGUAA